ACGUGUUGAAGCACGGGUCGUCGUAGAAGUCAUCGGCGGCGGUGAAGGAGCAGAGGGAGCCCUCCGUCAUCUCCAUGGGGCCCACCCGCCCUGCCGCCGCGCCGCGGAGAGCAGCCGCCCCGAUGCCCCGAAGUGCCGGGUGCCGCCGGCCGCUCGCCCGGGGGAUCAGUGACGGCUCCGCUGGCUACGCACGGGGAAGAAGCCGCCAGCUCCUGGACAGGUCUGUCCGCGGCCACACGGUUAUAAACGGUGGCGAAACUUCAGCUUGUUCAAAAUCAGCAGCAAAGCUCUGUCUUCAGAGCAAGGGGCAAGGGGCUGACUGAAGAACUGCAGAAGGAUGUGAUUGAAAAGGAAGCUGGAAAAGCAGAAGCAGAUUGUAUUUCCUACGUUGAGAAACAUGGAUAGACUCAUCCAAUACACAACUGGCAGAGGGCCCAGAACGUGUUCUGACAAAGGAAAAGGGAGAGAAAAAGACUUAAAUUCUUAGAGCAUGUGGAUACAUUUCAUUAUAUGAACAUGAGAAGUCUGAGAAAAAGACACAGCAGUACUCAUGGAAAAAUAAGAGACAAAGCUUGAUGCAGGAAGAACUUUGAAAUAUUUGGUAGAGCCACAUGUGACUGAUCAAAAUAUUCACCCUAAGCAUAGAAAACAGGAGUGUUAAAAUUUGCCAGAGAUGGGACUCACCUGCAGCAGAACAUGAGUUUAACAGAACUUGGGAGACCCUUCCAAUGGAAGGUGUUUUGUUCACAAAGCACUGUCACUUUGGAGACCUUGAUCCGAUUUCUACAAUAAAUGAAACUCCUUUUCCUCAAGUCACUCAUUCCUGUUUCUGCUGACAGCACAGCCAAGACUGAGUGUUUUAUACCAGGUCCUCAGCGCAAGUGUGCAGCACGACUUCAAGUGGAGCUCACAUUAACACAUCUACUUAACUGUUAAGGUAAAUCUUUUAUGUCAAUCAUUCACCAUUUAAGAGGUUCACAUUUCUAGUUUUGAUUUAUCCACAGUCAAUUUCUAACUGAGUUUUCUCCAUCCUAUCCAGCUGCCAAUCGCUACAACGUUUUUCUUCCACAGGCUUAACAGGUUUUACUGCAUACUUAAAUUUUCACUGAACUUCUACUUGACAUCAAACUCAAUUGAAGGAUCUUGGGGAUAAACUGAAUACAGUUUGGGUUGCUUCCCAGUGGAUGCUUGGCAUCAGAAGGGACCACUGGCUUGAGCUAGUGCAUGACAAGUCUUAGGAUGCCUGUGCUGAAAGACCUCUCUUAAUGGACCUUGACGGGGUUUGGUUUGAUUUGUUCCAGAAUGGGAUUAUCCUCCUUCCUGUUGCUGCAGACUCAUGAUCUGGACUCCAGGACUCAAGCAGGACUGAGGGAUGCAUGCAAGUGGUAAGAAGCUGGAUCAUCUUUCUUCAUCUGCUCGCUGCAAUCCCAGAAUUUGCAAGUGUGACAAAGUAUUUCAUCCCUUUAGAGGAUUAGGGAUGUGGAUUUGCCUCUCACCGAGGUGCUGCAGGAGGAUGUCUCCAAGACCUGAUUUAACCUGAAGCAUGCACUUCCUCUGGAGGUCUGCAGCAGGGCUGGAGAACUGCAAACACUGCAUCCCUUUCCUCCUGUCACCUGAUUCCAUGUGACUGCAGUGCCUGUGCCGUGCUCUCAGCUCCCUCACCCUGAAGUGUUCCUCAUGAUGGUUUGUACAGAGCUGCCUUGGAGCAGGCUUCGCUUUUGGUGGCAGUAUCCCUUGUUGUCAUUUCAUUCAUGAAGAAGAUGGCUUUAUCCUUGCCUUUGUUCCACUGAGACCAGCUGCUCUACCCACAGGCACCAAAAGUGGAAAAUCUUCCAUAACCUUUUUUAAUUUUCAAUUGAAGCUCUUCAUCACGUGAACUUCUUGGUGUUUUUUGAGAGGUAAAGACUUUUUGACUUUUUUUGCUUUUUAAUUUUUUUUAAGAACCAACACCAAAUAAAAACCCAAACACCAAAACCAACAAGCCCAAAACUGACUGAAAUUUUAAACCCACGCAUUGAACCCAAGUUCAAUGAAAUAACUGCAUUGUGUGACUGAUACAGUCCAUGGGAGUACAAAGCAUUCCCUCUCUGGUCUUGCACAUCCACUCCCUGUAGCUAUUAAUAGCUUUUAGACAUGAAGACAGGCAGGAGUAGUUUGCCAUGCAAACAUUUAUCUGGGAGCCCCAUCCUAUUUUCUAAACUAAACUGAAGAUUUCAGUGUGAUAAAGUGGACAUUUUAAAGCAUUGGUAGAGAUGGGGGAAUGUAACUGCACUUAAACUGGGGUUGGAUUAGGCAUUCUCAUAUCAUGGAGUCUGCCACUAAAUAGCAAAGUAUACGAGCAAUGGAAAUAUGUCCUUCUUCAUCUGUAAAAAGAGGACAGUUUUAAAAAUCUAUCAAUCUUUCAAAUCUUAAGGCAUAUUGAUCUGAAUCAUCACGGGAAUCCAACAGAUAGCUAUUAUUGUUAGUGAUCUAAAAAUAUAAAUGUGGUUGAAUACAUGGCAAAAUGUAUCUUAUUCGAGUUGUCUUUAUUACUACAAUAAAUGAUACCAAGUCUCUCUUC